rnacentral:rRNA from 1 species
AAGACCUUGCGCUUUUGGAGCGGCCGAUGCCUGAUUAGCUUGUUGGUAAGGUAAAAGCUUACCAAGGCUUCGAUCAGUAGCUGGUCUGAGAGGACGGCCAGCCACACUGGGACUGAGACACGGCCCAGACUCCUACGGGAGGCAGCAGUGGGGAAUUUUGGACAAUGGGGGCAACCCUGAUCCAGCCAUGCCGCGUGAGUGAAGAAGGCCUUCGGGUUGUAAAGCUCUUUCAGCCGGAACGAAACGGUUACGGUUAAUACCCGUGAUUACUGACGGUACCGGAAGAAGAAGCACCGGCUAACUACGUGCCAGCAGCCGCGGUAAUACGUAGGGUGCGAGCGUUAAUCGGAAUUACUGGGCGUAAAGCGUGCGCAGGCGGUUUUGUAAGUCAGAUGUGAAAGCCCCGGGCUCAACCUGGGAACU